rnacentral:rRNA from 1 species
AACGGCGAGUGAAGCGGCAAAAGCUCAAAUUUGAAAUCCUGCGGGAAUUGUAAUUUGAAGGUUUCGUGGUCUGAGUCGGCCGCGCCCAAGUCCAUUGGAACAUGGCGCCUGGGAGGGUGAGAGCCCCGUAUGGCGCACGCCGACUCUUUGCACCGCGGCUCCGACGAGUCGAGUUGUUUGGGAAUGCAGCUCUAAGUGGGUGGUAAAUUCCAUCUAAAGCUAAAUAUUGGCGAGAGACCGAUAGCGAACAAGUACAGUGAUGGAAAGAUGAAAAGCACUUUGAAAAGAGAGUGAAACAGCACGUGAAAUUGUUGAAAGGGAAGGGCUUGCAAGCAGACACGGUUUUACCGGGCCAGCGUCAAAUAAACGGGGGGGAAAAGGGGGAAAGAAUGUGGCGCGUGCCCUCGGGUUCGCGUGUUAUAGCUUUCUCUAAUACCCCCAUGUUUGUUUGAGGCCUGCGAUUCUAGGACGCUGGCGUAAUGGUUGCAAGCCGC